AUUGAACGCUGGCGGAAUGCUUUACACAUGCAAGUCGAGCGGCAGCACGGGGGCAACCCUGGUGGCGAGCGGCGAACGGGUGAGUAAUACAUCGGAACAUGCCCAGUCGUGGGGGAUAACACUUCGAAAGAAGUGCUAAUACCGCAUACGUCCUGAGGGAGAAAGCGGGGGAUCGCAAGACCUCGCGCGAUUGGAGUGGCCGAUGUCGGAUUAGCUAGUUGGUAGGGUAAAGGCCUACCAAGGCGACGAUCCGUAGCGGGUCUGAGAGGAUGAUCCGCCACACUGGGACUGAGACACGGCCCAGACUCCUACGGGAGGCAGCAGUGGGGAAUUUUGGACAAUGGGCGCAAGCCUGAUCCAGCCAUGCCGCGUGAGUGAAGAAGGCCU
rnacentral:rRNA from 1 species